rnacentral:lncRNA from 1 species
GAACACAUCUGCUGUCAUCCACUUUGCUUUUCCCCCCUGAUAAAAAUCCAUUUAGAAGCAGCCAUCAGAAAAUCAUGGGGGAAGGGAUGGCAAGAAGGAGAUGAUCCAACCUAAAAGCUACAAAGCCAACCAUGGCACUUUUGCUGGUUCUUGAAAUGCCUCUUGAGUCCUGCACCCCGCUGUCCACCAAAUAUAAUCUAUGUUAUUUACAGCAUGUACUUGGUACAGAUUACAGUCACUCAGAUGAAGGGGGAGAAAAAAGGGAACUAGAAGUAAUAAUAAAAUGGAAAAAAAAAAAAAAAAGGCAGGAAAUCAAUUGAAGGCCAGCAUGGUGUGCUGCACAAAGAUUCAAAUAAGGAACUUGCAGUGCAACAUGUUUGUGCACACAUGCAUAGAAAAUCAUAUUUUGCUUUUGAUCAAUUGCACAGAGCAAAAAUACGGGUUAUGCAGAAGAGCAGCACAAAAUAAACCUGCUAUGGAAAUGUAACUCAAUCAUGACCUCUGAUUGCCAGCUUCUCCCAUGUGCAGCAUCGCUGACUCAGAGGCAGGAAGUGCUAUUCUAGCUACCUGUUCCUACUCACUCUGUAUUUACAGACCUCAAGUAAAAUCACAACCUGCUCCGCACCCACUUCACCCCACCCUCAUAGCCAAAGCCAGCUACAGAUUGGCACGGAGUUGAACUUGUUGUCACGCUCCCUCCUCAUGGUUUACAUUUGCUCCGAGAUGUUCUGGGUAUUUCCUAUCUCAGUUUCUGCUUUCCACUGUGGGUUGCCUCCCCAUGGAACAAGUUAUUAUUACUCCAGUCUCUACCAACAACGCAAACAAAGCAGGUACAAGCUGACGCAACUCUGGAAAGUGCUGUACCAAACACUGAUGCAACCCCCCGGAGAGAUGCGAUUACUCCCCCGGAGUGCGUGGGAUGAGGAUGCCCUGCUUGCUCUCAUCUUGACUCCUGCUUUCGCCUUUGCCUGCCAGCACAAAACCUGGCACAGCUCUGUAACUCACGCCUUCCAGUCUGCGGCUUGGAAGAGCUCUGGUUGUGCCCCGUCACCAAAUGUUCCCAGCAUCAGGGUUGUUUUGCCUCUCACCCAUCAAUCAAAGUAAAGCAAUAAAACCUUCACCCUUGUAGCA